AGUACUUAUAUCUUAAUAGAAUUUUCAGGAGUAGAUUUCUGUAUCUGAUUGCAAGCAGUUUAAUUUUAGACGGGCUCGGUUAUUAAGGAUUACUUUAUCCUAUUUACCGAAUUUAAUCAUUUUCUUCAAUAACUAUCUGAGUAUUUCUGAACGGCGAUGUAUUAUAUGAGUGCAGUUGUGGUAAUCGGAACCGAUGACGUAUAAUUGAUUUCGUUACUCUCCUUUCCAAUGCUGUAUUUGUGUCACCACAAUUCAUGGAGAAAUGGAAAAUGUUAUCGAUCAUCCAGCACGAUAAGGUAGGAAAAGGAAAAUAGCUGAAUGUACCUUACUCACAUACACAACAUACGAGAUACGAAAAUCUUAAUGUCAAGGAUAAUGCUGUAGAGCGGCAAAGAAAUAUAUGCAUGUUAUUCAGUAGUUUCGCACAAGGGAUAACAAAUGCUUGUUUUUCUUAGAAAUCAGAGUAAACUAGUGAAAACAUAUGAUCUACAACAGUAGAGAUGGACAAAGUAUAAGAAAUUGAUUAAAAAAACAUAAUAGAAUUAAGAUUUUGUACAACUAGUGAUAUUGAGCGCUAUCCUCUUUUCUCCCUCUCUUCGUCAUUGACCAGCAUCUCCCACUCUCAUCCGAAGAAACUCGCAAAAUGAGUACAUAUAUAUUACGUAUUCGAAUAAACAUAUUUGGCGCCAAAUACUUAAGUGUUAAGCAGUAAGCAUUUAAACGAAAUAUAUUCACAAUGGAAAACUUCCGAAUCGCUGCUUGUAGGAUUAAAAAUACUUCGCAGCCUCAGUAUUUGUUACAAUAGAUAUUAAAAUUCGGCGUACUUGGUAUCGAUGGAACGAUGGAAGAAAAUGUGAAAUGCAGUUCAAGGAAUAUGCAAAAAUAAUUACGGACAUGCAACUAAAUAAGAUAUAAUUAUUUAUACACUUACAAUAUAUUAUGGAGCAUAGAUCUUUACCGAUAUUUUAAAGUUACUUGUGGUAGUUAUUAUGUACAUAUAAAUUAUAAUUCAUUUUCUAACGAUUAAUUUCAUGUAAGAAAAUAUUAUCCCGUUAAUGUUAGUGAAAGCAGAAUACGAAAUUCUUUUAAUAUGUUAAUACAUCUACGAGAUUACAUCUAUUAACAAUCAACGCCUGGAUAUGGAUAUAAUAAUGUAACAUAAGUUCACAGUAUCAUCUUUUAUGCAUUGCAAGCUAACGUACUUCGACUUAUUGAGUGCACUCAUUAACAUUAACAAGUAAACAUAUAAUUAAGCCUGUGAACAUUAAUAUGUGCAUAUAUGUAACUUAACUGAUAAUUCCAGUGGUACACUUUCUCGCGCUUAUCGUCCAAAUACGGACAUUCAUCUUUACUUUACACACAUAAAAGAAAAUGUAUGAUAACGAGCGUAAACUAGCCGCGCCGUUUACGAAUAAACGUCAAAUGAGCAGGGAACAACGAAAA